GCCGUUCUAUUGAUUUCAAGAUAUUGCAUACAAGUUCUUAAAAUGUGUUAUUAAAUAGGAUUUUCUCCUGUUAUUUGCCAUGAGUAGAAUGUGAAACACCCCCCAAAAAGCCACGGUGGAGGGGCAGCUGAGGAGGCAGGUGAGUGCCACUCGAGUCACUGUGCUGCUGACGAUGCCACCUCCCUGCAACAGGGCUGGCUUUGUCUGAAGCACAGCCACAGCAGCUCACAGAUCUGCUCUGGGUUGUGCUGCAGGGGAAUCACCCCUUCUCUAGGGGAUGCACACAGUCCCCAGCCAGGAGACAUGCUCACUUGGUGCAUAAACAAACCUGAAGGUGACUACACCAGAUGAAAUAUUAAUAACAGCUCCUCCUUUCCAUUUCCACCACACCUCUGGUGAUUCUUUGCACCCAUACAAACCUGCUCAUGAGGACUCCUGGAGCUGCAGGAUAGAAGCACAAUUAAUGCACAACGUGCUCACCCUGGCCUGUCACACCAACAGACUGCAUCAAGGAGUUGUCAGGCUGCAAGAAGAACCUUCCUGCAAACCCAGAGAUUUCCACCUGCAGGGCUGGAAAUAUUCUCGUCCACGAGCCUUGGCACACACACCCUCCACCCUGUCCUGUGUGCAGGGCAGCCUUGUGCCACAUGUCCAGAUUUUCAUAUCCACAAUCAUAGAAAGCCACAUGAUGUUUUGUUUCAUAUUUAUGUAUAAGUGCUACAAAGCUUUCUGAUGCUCCAUAUUCUCUUUGCAAGCAGAAAAGAAGAAGCAGUUGCAUCCCUUUUCUUCAGACUUGUGCCAUUUUUCCCCUUUCAGGAUCAGCAAUUGUCAGGCUGUUGUUUAACAAUCCCUUGUGCUGGUGCUGU